SAGAGGCCUUAGCUUAAUUARAGUGUCUGAGUUGCAAUCAGAGGUUGUAUUUUAUAAUUUUACAGGUCUU
rnacentral:tRNA from 1 species